UUCGCGCUCUCGCCGGGCUGCGCGACGCGCUCGACGGUAUUGCGCAUUAGUGUUGGUCGGUUUGCAUGAGGCCCAUCGGCAGGGUGUGUGCUGCGUGGGGCGGUUCAUGCAUGGCGACGCGUGCCCUGUGUGCUAUCGGUUGGAGUAUUCUAGAGUGCGUGCGCUGGCUGUUUUCUCGCUUGUUCCACCGGCUGCUAUUUAUAGGCGUACGUGGGUGCUGUGUUGUUCCAGUGUGUGCCCUUGUUCUGGUGUGCGUUCCGUUUGUUUUGGUUUGGUUGGUUUGUUUGCUGCCGUGGUCUGUUCUCCAGAUGCUAUCGAUUUCGAUCGGCGUUGUAAGAUACAUCUGUUACUUCCCUUGACUUUUUUUGUUUAUUUGGUUUUGCAUUAAUAUUGUGUCUUGCGAGGUGUUAGUUUUGCUCUUCCCUUUUGAGUUGUCGUGCGUUGAUGGACGUGUCCACUACUGGCCGUCGUGGCCGACGUGGGCCCAGGCAUGGAGGUCUGGAUGUGCAUGCGGAUGUGUCUUCCGGGAGAGUCGUGGGCGUCGUCGGAGGGGGCGAUCUGCUGGUGAUGCUUCUGCGGAUGAGUCGUCUGUACGGCGCCGUCGUCGUGGAGGUGGCCGGGUGUCCUCGGUUGCUGGAGGGCGUGGUGUCGGUGCGUCCGCGGAUGGGCUGCCCCGAGGGCGCGGUCGUCGUGGAAGGUGCCGAGGAUUGUCGGUUGCUGGGGGCCGUGGUGCUGGUGCUGGUGUGGAUUUGCGGUCCGGAAGGCGUGGCUGUCGUGGGAGGGGCCGAGGGUUGUCGGCUACUCGAGGACGUGGGCGUCGUGGAGCUGUUCGUUCUCGAAGUGCGUGUGUUUCUUCUUCAAUUCUUUGUAUUGUUUGGGACGCUUCUCUUUUGUCUCAUGAUUUGGUGUUUUAGGUGCUGCUGUGUCUCAUGAUGUCGAUUCGUUGCUUUGCCUCCGGUGUUGCAUGCUGUUCGUGGUUACUUGCUUGGUAUCGUUCGCUUUUGCGUUGCUUUUGGUUCUGUUUUUCCUUUUUUCGUAGGUAAUCUUAUGUUGCCGCGUCUUAGUGCGUCGGAGGAUAGACCCAAAAGAAAGAGAAGGUGCAUGCAACAACGGCCUCAUUUGUUUGGUAACGAGUGUAUUUUCGUUCUUAUGUGUAUUUUGUACUGUAUCUUAUGAUAGCGGCUGUAUGACGUGUGAUUUGUUUGUUGGGUCAAGACGUUGGUGGUGGCGAAGGGUAUUCUAUGUCCAAAGAGUUCGUGGUUUUUUUAGAAAGGUUUGUUUUGGUGCCUUGAGUGAUCGCCUAAAAAAAAUUCUUCGUCUUUACUUUUGUAAUUGUGGCUUGUAAUACGAUAUCUGAAUCAUUGCCCCUUUGCUUGAAAUGGUACGUGGCUCAUUAUCACUGGGAAGUUUUAAGACAAGUAAGAGCAACUCUGUAGGUCUACUACAAGUAGUGUCAAAAACAUACAUGCCAACCUUGCUCCAUUCUUGAAGAAUAAAUUCGGACAAAUGACUGGAAUCUCAGUCAACACUUCAUAAAAAGGUCAGCAUUGUUAUCUUGAACAUUGUUCUCCACCCGGAAGUAUUUGCCAUCAGAGAGGUAAGAUUUGACCAAUCCGCUCUCAAGGAGUUGAAACAAAGGCUGACCAAUCCGCUCUCAAGGAGUUGAAACAAAGGCCGUCAAUGUUUCUCCCCCGUGAAGCUCCAUCGUCACCUCGCACAAGAUGUUAAGCAGGUAUUUUGUCGGAAGAUUAUGGAACUAUGUAUGAAAAAUGUUGGAUUCAUAUGGUUUCUUUUGUAUUUUCAGUUUGAGGAUCCGAAACAUGUAACAUCCAGAGCUACAAAAUAUCUAGAUAAUUAAUGUAAUCUAGGUGACUUUGGAUAGUUCAGUGAGAGUACAUGUGCCGCCAAAUUGAUUGGUUUUCAUGUAAAUAGUGGUAAUUGAUGAUUAAUCCCUCCAUCCCA